AUGGCUAGUAAUUGGAGUUUCAGACAAUUUGGGGAGGUAAUUUGUAGCCAAUAUCCUUGGGGUUUGCUUGAUGAAGUGGUAUACAAAUACUAUGAUGGGGAAAAGAAAUGGGUGACAGUUAGUAAUAAUGAAGAGCUAGCUACCAUGUUUGUUAGGCACAAAGAGAAAGAUAAUUUUCAUGUGAGGCUGCAAGUUGAUGUGCUUGAGCAGGCAUUUGGACCUAGGAUGACGGGUGCAACAUCUCGGGGAGAACCAAGUCGUCGUAAUGGCAUCUCUAGCCAGAACAGUUCAUUGGUGCACGGCGACGUGGUGGCUCGACAAGUGUGGGCAACAGCAGUAGGGUCCCCCUUGAAGUGGAGCCUGAUGACUACAAUUCUGGGGUUGAUGAAGAUAAGCUAUAUUCUGAUGUUAUUUGGAAUUUACGACGGGCACCUCGGGCUGAAAACCAAGAUGAGGCUCACAAUGCAGUCCGUGUGGAUGAUGACGCGGUGGGUGAGGACGAAGACCUUGCAGCUGUUGAAUGGGACCCUUUGA
rnacentral:rRNA from 1 species